rnacentral:rRNA from 2 species
GCUAAAUAUCUAGCCUACAGCCCCACCAAGAUUUCCCCAACUAAUAACCCAAUAAUAAAACAUUUUCUUAUUUAAGUAAAGGCGAUCAAAAAAAUUCUAAGAGCUAUAACUAAAGUACCGCAAGGGAACGAUGAAAUAUAAAUGAAAUAAAAUUAAGCACUAAAUAGUAGAGAUUAAAGCUCGUACCUUUUGCAUCAUGGUCUAGCAAGUCCCCAUCAAGCAAAGAGAAACUCAAGUUUGAUUUCCCGAAACUAGGCGAGCUACUUCAAAACAGCCUUCAAGGGCCAACCCGUCUCUGUCGCAAAAGAGUGGGAAGAUUUUCAAGUAGAAGUGAAAAGCCUAUCGAGCCUAGAGAUAGCUGGUUAUUCAAGAAAAGAAUUUUAGUUCAACCUUAAGCUUCCCCUUGAAAUAUAUGUAUAUAGAGGAACAAAUCACUAAACUUAAGAGUUAUUCAAAUAAGGCACAGCUUAUUUGAAAAAGGUUACAACCUAGACUUUAGGGUAAGUUUUUACAACUUAAUCAAGUAGGCCUAAGAGCAGCCAUCUUUUAAAAAGCGUUAAAGCUUAAUUUACCCCUCUUUUAAAUUCCAAUUGUUACUACAAACCCAUUACCAAUAUUGAAUGACUUCAUAAAGUAUGAAAGCCACCAUGCUAGAACUAGUAACAAGAAAAUGCAUUUCUCCAAAGUGUAAGCAUAAACCAAAACGGACAACCCAAUGGUACUUAACGAUACUGGACUCAAUAUAUCAACCUACCUAGAAAACCUUAUAAAUAAUCUCGUUAAUCUCACACAAGAACACUCCCGGAAAGAUUAAAAGGAAAAGAAGGAACUCGGCAAAUUUUAGCCCCGCCUGUUUACCAAAAACAUCGCCUCUUGCUUAAGUAUAAGAGGUCCAGCCUGCCCAGUGAUUUUUAUUCAACGGCCGCGUGAUUUAAGCGCGCGAAGGUAGCAUAAUCAUUUGUUCUCUAAAUAAGGACUAGUAUCAACGGCACCACGAGAGCUAUACUGUCUCCUUUCCCCAAUCAGUGAAACUGAUCUCCCUGUGAAAAAGCAGGGAUAAAAAUAUAAGACGAGAAGACCCCAUGGAGCUUAAAACACAGCAACAACCUUAUUUAAAUAAACCACUAUAACCCCAAAAUCUGUCUGCUCGUUUUAGGUUGGGGCGACCACGGAGCAAAGCAAAACCUCCACAACGAAAGGGGCUUCCCUAAUCCAAGAAAAACACCUCUAAGAAUCAGCAACCUGAUGUUUAAUGAUCCGAUAUCGAUCAAUGGACCAAGUUACCCUGGGGAUAACAGCGCAAUCCACUUUAAGAGCUCAUAUCGACAGGUGGGCUUACGACCUCGAUGUUGGAUCAGGAUAUCCCAGUGGUGCAGCCGCUACUAAAGG